UACAGAGGGUGCAAGCGUUAAUCGGAAUUAUUGGGCGUAAAGCGCAUGUAGGUGGUCAUAUAAGUUUGAUGUGAAAGCCCCGGGCUUAACCUGGGAAUUGCGUUGAAUACUGUAUGACUAGAGUCGGACAGAGGGUAGUAGAAUUUCCGGUGUAGCGGUGAAAUGCGUAGAGAUCGGAAAGAAUACCAGUGGCGAAGGCGGCUACCUGGGUCCAGACUGACACUGAGGUGCGAAAGCGUGGGGAGCAAAC
rnacentral:rRNA from 1 species